rnacentral:misc_RNA from 1 species
GCGCCGGCGCCGGCGUCGGCGGCGUCAGUCUCGAUCUGCGAAUGUCGCGACGCGCAUGCUUGUAGUGAUGUGAGUGCAGUGUGUGGUGUAUCUGUGAUAUUGCAUUAGGAUUUACAAUAUGAAGUGUGUUUUAUUGAUAAGUGCUUGUUCUCUACUAACUGUCACGGCUUCUAUAACAUAUGAUGAAUACAACGUGUUGCAGCAAACAAUAUUUGCGAGUUAUCCAAAGAGCGAUGAUCCAGGAGACCUCACUAAACCGCCCUACAAAAUAGAUGAACCAGUCUCAGUGGACAUUUCAAAGCUUUCCCUAGCUAAUAAAACACUAUCUUACCCAUUGAUGCUACACGCAGUAUUCAAGCUAGAUAAAUACAGAACUACGAAUUUUUUCUCUAUAACGGAUAAAACUGGAUAUAUCAAAAAGUUAAUGUUGACUCUAAAGGCGAAUCCUGGAUACUUGAAUGAGUUCAUAUUGAAAAGUGACAGUUUCUCGACGAGCGUUAGUUUUAGAGAAAAAUUGAAUUUAAUACACAAGUGGACAAAUGUUUCAUUCUACAUACAACAUGACAAAGUCUCCUUUUGGCUAGAUUGUGAAAGGAGAGAGCCAGAUUUCGAAGAAAGUGAUUCUGUGUUUCGUGACAUUGAUUUGAAUGGCGAUUAUCAAGUACACUUGAGUGACGCGGUUCAUCCUUUUCACGGUGAAUUUCAAGAUAUCAAAAUAUUCGUCGGCGCUGAAGAGAGUAUUAUUGAUAAUAUAUGUAAAACUGAUUUUAGGCUACCCGGCAGUGCUGGUAAACCGGCUGGGGACUUUGGUGUAAGUGGGCCAAUAGCAGCAAGUCUUACCGCUGAAAGGCCCUUUACGGAGAGAGGUGACGGAAUCGGUGGAGAUGAUGAAGAUUUCGAAGGCGAAUUUGUACCGGGAUCAUCGGGAGAAGUUGGUAAAUGUGAAUGUUCUGAGUCGACCAUAUCAAGCUUGCUUGCGUCCAUGCCUGAGAUGAGAGGACCGCCAGGAAGUCCCGGGCCACAGGGUGACCAAGGCGAAACUGGAUUAGCUGGCCCGAGGGGUGCACCAGGUGAACCUGGACCGAGAGGGCACACGGGACACGAAGGACCAAAAGGAGAAGACGGCAGUCCAGGAAGGCAAGGAUCUCCAGGGCACGAUGGUGAACCAGGCAGGAGGGGAGAACCGGGGCCAGUCGGACCACCAGGGCCGCAGGGACCCCCUGGAGAAUGUACUGUGGUGAAGGGAACAGAAGAGAAAAAAGAAGUAGCCGUACCAGGUGAAAGAGGACCACCUGGACCAAUUGGUCCCCCUGGUCCUAGAGGACCGGAAGGGGAAAGGGGUGUCAAAGGAGAAACUGGAACCAAAGGAGACAAAGGUGAUGAGGGAACAAAAGGUGAAAGGGGAGAACGCGGUGAAGACGGAAGAGACGGGGUUCCAGGCGCACCUGGAAGCGACGGACUGCCCGGUCAUAAAGGACAAAAAGGCGAUACUGGCCUCAUCGGCCCGCCCGGCCUGGCGGGCAUGCCAGCUAAAUUAACAUCAUUGUUAUCAGAAGAAAUGGAUCCUAAAGAGAAGGCUGAAAUCGCUGAUUUAUUAAGAGGACCAAAGGGGGAGAAAGGGGAUUAUGGUGCCAAGGGUGACAGAGGAGACGACGGGAUAAAUGGCCUACCGGGAAACGACGGUAAAGAUGGGCGAGAUGGAGCACCGGGAGAACAAGGGCCGCUUGGACCAAAAGGGGAUCUUGGACCACCUGGAUCAAGAGGACAUAAAGGGGAACGUGGGGAACCUGGUCCUCCUGGAAAUGCUCCUGCUGCUGCUAUUACAAUAACAAAGGGUGAGAAAGGAUCGCAUGGCCAUCCCGGAAAGGUGGGCCCAAAAGGAGACCCUGGACCUAAAGGCGAACAAGGUACGCCAGGGCAAAAUGGAACUAAAGGAGACAAGGGAAACACUGGACCUCCGGGCCCAAUGGGACACAAAGGCGUUGAGGGUAUAAAAGGGUCGUCGGGAGAAAAAGGAGAGAAAGGGGAAAGAGCACAGCCCAUUGACUUGGCAUUGUUGAAAGGUGAAAAAGGUGAACGAGGUGCUAUUGGGACCAUAGGACCAAUUGGCCCACCUGGGCCACCAGGUUCAACUUCCAAUCACUCGGCUGUACCUGGACCUGUCGGACCUUCUGGGCCGCCUGGGCCUUCUGGACCUGUUGGACCUUCCGGACUUUCCGGACCUCCUGGACCUCCCGGUCCUCCUGGUUCUCCCGGUGUACCUGGAUUACCAGGGUCUCCUGGGCUGACUAUCACUGGACCAUUAGGUGGACCAACGGACGCGAUAAACUCUAUUUAUUAUGACAUUGGAGAAGAUGAUUUCUACACAGCCUCGACAGUUGUCUACAAAAGCCGGACAGCAUUAAUAAAAGUAAAGAACAGAAAACACGCCACUGGGAACGUUGGCCUUUAUCUUACAAGAGGAAAUUCUUCUUUUACGCGUCCAAAAUGGGUGGCAAUAUGUCCGGAUGGGUUCCUUAUGGAACGUGGAGUCUUCAUCAACGACCACCCGACCGCCGUGGCAGGACCCUGCACCAGUAACCACCCGGUCUCCAAGAGCAAACAACGUUAUCGCGAGUACCGACAGACCCAAGCCGAAACCAAGACCUCCCAGGCGGUUGAGGACAAAUUAUAUUCGUCUAAUAGCGCUAAACAGCCCAUACACGGGCAGAAUGUUAAGUGAGACGAACUCAAGUUUUAGUUUCUAUGCAAUAGCAAAUGACUGCAGACGGCAGGCUUUAAGACACAAUAUUAGCGGUCACUUUGAGCCUCUACUCGAUUUUAGGGAUGGUGGCUUAGAAAAUCUUGUAGAUAAGAAAUACCAUGAACUACCGGUAGGGAACUUGUUUGGGGACAUGCUUUUCGACAAGUGGAAAAACGUGUUCGAUGACCGGGGUCACAUUCCGCCGACUGCAAACA